AUCGCUUCUCGGCCUUUUGGCUACGAUCAAUUGUAAUUUCUUUUCUUAUCAGUUUAAUAUCUGAUACAUCCUCUAUCUGGGACAAUAUAUUAAAUGGAUAUUUGGAUCAGGAAAAUGGAAUAGGAGCUUGCUCUGUCCACUCCACGCAUCAACCCGGUAUUGCAGUACCUCUGGGAAUGGUGCAAAAAAA